rnacentral:lncRNA from 1 species
CCAUCAUUCUCCACAGGUCCACCUUCCAUUCUUCAUCCAUCAUAAAAAAUCCAUAUAUGGUUCAUCUCAUACCACAUCAUAUCCCUAACAAAUCAAACAAAAAAAGAGUCUUGUUAGACAAUAGGCUUAUAUCUAGAGAGGGUGAAUAGAUCCCAAAUUAAAAUUUUGUUCAAAACUUUGAUUUAGAAAAUUUUAUGGCGCGGAAGCAAGUUUAAAAUAUUUCCCAUAUCCAAAAUUGUCUAACCGAACCUUCUAU